GGCGUGUGGACACACACCAUCUCCUACCAAGCGCAGUGCAGACUGGCGCAUUACUCUACAGCGGCAGUGGUUGUUCAUGAAACAAUUAAGCUAUUGUAAAGGUGAACAAAUAGAAAAUGCAACACGCCACUCACAUCCAAAGAGACGAGAUGCGGCUGAAAGAAUUUGUCAUUGCGGUCUGAGACGGAGGAGAAGGUCUACAUGACUGGAGAUGUCUCUGAACGUAAGAGGU